rnacentral:lncRNA from 1 species
CUGGGUAGAGGGAGGCCAAUUAAAGAAAGACGUGGUCUUGUUUUGAUUCUGGGCCCGUAAAUUGGCACUGGAGGAUCUUCUACUUAGUACGCAGCAUUCCAGGAUCCUUGAAAUAGCAGCCCUGGCCACCAAUGGUAUGCAACCCCCACUUCUGUCAGGCCAUCUUUUCGGGGGCCCCCAGCCUGACAGUUGAGCUUCCUGCACACAGAAGAGCUUCCUGCCCCAGCCAGGCAGAAAGUCAGGUCAAGUUCCCAUGACACAAAAUGAGACGCACAAGAAGGCCGUAGCUGUCCCUGGGAGAGAAAGUCUCCACAACCAGUGGGUACACGAAAGCCAAUUCUUGAGGCACAUUUCAAAGAUUUAAUUCUUACAAGUUGGGUGGUUUUUUUUUUUUUUUUUUUUUUUUUUGCCACCAACCUGAAAAGAAAGGCUGAUGUGACAUUUUCCCUCCCCCUCUCCACCAGGAGCCACAAAGGGAGACCUAGGAGAGCAGACUUGGAUAAGAACUCUUACCUUGUGCUGGCUUCCCCCAGGAUCCUGCACGCUCUGGAGCAAGCGGGGUGUCCCAGCGGGUCUCUUCCUGGUCAUGAGAAACCGAAGAGGAGGAAAAUGUUUUCCUCCUACGCUUUAUGGUGAGUGUUCAGCAGAGACCCCUUUUUCUCCAGGGUGCCUCAUACUUGGAUAAGCUGAUCCAGGUUAAAAAUUCUCAGCUGAGGCUGCUGUAAUUCAGAAUUAUCCUGGGUAAGUUUAACCUGCUUAUUUGAGCUCAAAAGAAAAUGUUAUUCACCUGACUGACCCCUCACACUGGCCCCAGACCAGCUUAAGUAGGACCCAGUCUGACCUGGAACCAUGUCCGUGGUCUGACCUUCAAAAUGGUCCCAUUUCUAAGUCGGGUCCAAUUCAAUUCCAGCAGGUUUCCAGACCAAGGCUGGAAAAGGAAAUGUUCAAAAAAACAAAACAAAACAAAAAAAUGUUCCUAUGAUUCCAGUUUGCAUGGAAUAUUUUCUUCCAUCCUCUCAGUUUCAAUUAGUAUGUGUUCCUAGAAGUGAAGUGGGUCUCUUGAAGACAGCGUGUGCGUGGGUCUUGUUUUUGCAUCCAUUCAGGGUAUGUCUUUUGGGUGGGGCAUUUAGUCCAAUUACAUUUAAGGUAAUUAUUUAUAUGUGUUCUUAUUGCAAUUUUACUAACUUUACAGACAAGCAAAAGCUAAGAGAAUUCAGCACCACUAAACCAGCUUUACAACGAAUAGUAAAGGAACAUCUCUAGAUGGAAAAGAGAAGACCACAGCUAGAAACAGAAAUAUUACAAAUGACAAGACUCACCAGUAAAGGCACACAUAGAGUAAAGGUAGGAAAUUCCACGGUUUACCUGUAUCCUGGGUGAUUCUUCUGCAUUAUUUGAGAGCCUUGGGUUUUUACUUUCUCUGAUAGCAAGCUACUCUAAUUUAUGUGACUCUAUUAUACUUUAAUAUUCUGUAGGGCUUCUCCCUCAGUUUUCUUAAUUUUCUUGGCUAGUUCUGCAUGUUUAACUGAUCAAAAUUUAAGUUUUAUUUUCAAAUUAUUUUGUUUCAGGUUAUGUUUAUUCAGUAGAUUAACUUAGAGAGAAUUAACACCUUUACAAUGUGCAUUUUUGGUUUCCGCAAACAAGUUACGUGUUUCCAUUAUUCAAGGCUUUUUAACAUUUAGAAUGGUUUUAAGUAUAAAUACCUAGUGGGGUUUUAAAGUUUUCUUUAUAUAAUCCCUGCAUGAUUCUUGUUAAGUUUCUUCCUAAAUGUUUUAUCUUCUUUUGUUGUAUUGAUUAUAAGAUCAAUUUAUAUUCAAUUUUUCUAAUACAUUUUGAUUUAUAUAUUAAAAAGCUGUUGCUUUUAAAUUUUAAUUUUGUAAUUAGUCUCCUGCUUCACUUUAAAAAAUUGUUUCUAAUUGUUUUUUUUUUUCAGUCCUCAUUUGUUUUCUAAAUGUAUAGUCAUAUGUACUGCAAAAAUAAUUAUUUUGUCUUUUCUGUCUUACGAUUUUUAUUUCUGGUUUCUCUUUCCAAGUGCCCUGACUUUCAGAAUAGCACUCUGCUGUUCCGCAAUUUGGAACUGGUCCUGUGGGCAUCUUUAUUUCUCCUUGCUGGUCUAUGCCCACAACCCUUCCAGCCUAAGGAAAUGAUUUUAGGGCCUUACACAACAUUUACUUCUUGAAUAUUCUUCCCCAAAGUGUGGAAGAUUAUAUCGUCUCUGAUUUGCUCCUUAGUGCACAGUGUUUGGUGAAUAUUUUUCUUAAUUUGUGUUUUAAAUUUGUAGCUGUUUUUCCUAUGUAGUGAAGAUGCUGUAUAUUUUUUUGUUGUUGUUUUCCUGUAGAAUAUAGUACUUUAGCUAAUUAUCACAGGAAGUCUUCUAAAUCAGCUUUUAAAAGAUCUACUGGAAAUAUGUAUUAUUUGGAUUUGAAUUUCUUUUUUCUUUUUUAAAGAAAUUUACAUAGUCAAAUAUGUAAAUUUUUUUCUGUGUAACUUUUUUCAUCGUUGUUAGAGGAGGUUGCAGAAUGUAAGUAAUUGUUGAAGCUGAAUAAUAGAAACACAGGACUUGCAAUUGUAUGUUUAUACAUUUUCAAAAUAAAAUAGUUCAAGGCAUUAACUACAAAAAGGUCAUUCUCUACUUUGAGAUCUGACAAACAUUUAUCAAAUAUUUUCUCUAUGACUUUAUUUUCAGUUAAUUCUUUCAAUAACUUAGAUUUUUUUUUUUUGGUAUGAUGUUGGGUGAGCAUAUGGUAUUUCCCCUCUCAAAGAGGUAAUCAAUUUUCCCAGUGCUAUUCUUUGAACCACAAAAGCUGUAAGCAGAUUAGGCCUGGAAUCAAGGCUGCAUCCUCAUGGAUACUAGUUGAAUUCAUAACCCACUGAGUCACAACAGGAGCUCCUGAUUUACUCCCUCUCUGUCCUCACUCCCCAGACAGACUUAUGAUGCUACUUCCAUUGACAUCUAAUUUCAUUGGACAAAUCUAUUUCUGGACAAUUUAUUUAUUUCUAUUUAUCUAUUUGUCAAUGCUUACAUAAUAAUCUACUUACAGCUUUUGUGGUUUUUAACUAAUUUUAGCAUUGGUCAUAGCAAAUCUCUCUCAUUACUUUUCUUUUUAAACAUUUUCUUGGAUCUUUUAACCCAUUCACUCUUCUUGAUAAAAUUUGGGACCAUUCUGUCAAUUU